CAAUAACAUCCUUUCUUCCUCGAAUGCGACCUACAGAAUUCGACUCACAACACAUGUUUGAUUGUUUUUAUUGUACUUAUGUGUUCUGUUAUUUCGUUACUUUCUUCUUAUAGUUUAUUUGUUUCCCUCUGUUUUAUUUUAAAACUCGGAUUUGUCUUUACUCAAUCGAUUUGUGACUUUUGACCAAUGAUAAACUAUUUUUUAAACUAAAUUUACCGCCGUUUUGUAUUUACAUGAGCAAUAAGAAGGAUGCAACAUGUGGAGCAGGAUCUGCUGACGUUUCAAAAGCACAAACGAUUAUCACUAUUUCUGUUUGAAAGGGCUUGUUAUACUUUUGAGUGUUGUUCGUUGUGCUUUAUGAUUUCUCAAAGUUGGGUGUUUUUUGUUUUUUCUUGGUCUAUCCUUUGUCAUGGAAAACCGGGUUCAUUGCAAAAUAUAACACACUGACAGGUUCACGCGUCGGAAACUUACACCACCGAUAAUUUCUGAAUUUGGUGAUGUCAUAGGGUCAGAUAUGACU
rnacentral:lncRNA from 1 species